rnacentral:lncRNA from 1 species
UUCAUUCAACUCAUGGAGAAUUGAAGAUCUAAAUCGAAACAAAAUCACAUUUCUUGAUUUUGUGGGAUUGAGAAACACUAGUGUUGGUGAGAUCUGAGUGAAUUUGCACAAGAAUGAAGAUGAACGGAGGAAAUGGUAGCUUGAACACAAAGCUUCCAGUAUUUGAUGGAAAGAAUGUAAUCAGUGGAUGAUUCAGAUGCGUGUGUUGUUUGGUGCUCAAGAUUUUCUUGAUCUCGUCAAUGACAGUUACAUGGCGGUUGCAGCAGAUGCAACG